GCUGUGAUGACUUCCCCUGAAACGUGUUAGAUUGCUGAGGCGGAUGAUGUCCUCUCCAGUCUGAGC